UACGUAGGGUGCAAGCGUUAAUCGGAAUUACUGGGCGUAAAGCGUGCGCAAGCGGUUCGGAAAGAAAGAUGUGAAAUCCCAGGGCUUAACCUUGGAACUGCACUUCUAACUACCGGGCUAGGGUACGUCAGAGGGGGGUAGAAUUCCACGUGUAGCAGUGAAAUGCGUAGAGAUGUGGAGGAAUACCGAUGGCGAAGGCAGCCCCCUGGGAUGAUACUGACGCUCAUGCACGAAAGCGUGGGGAGCAAACAGG
rnacentral:rRNA from 1 species